GAUGAACGCUGACAGAAUGCUUAACACAUGCAAGUCAACUUGAAUUUGGGUUUUUAACUUAGGUUUGGGUGGCGGACGGGUGAGUAACGCGUAAAGAACUUGCCUCACAGCUAGGGACAACAUUUGGAAACGAAUGCUAAUACCUAAUAUUAUGAUAAUAGGGCAUCCUAUAAUUAUGAAAGCUAUAAGCGCUGUGAGAGAGCUUUGCGUCCCAUUAGCUAGUUGGAGAGGUAACGGCUCACCAAGGCGAUGAUGGGUAGCCGGCCUGAGAGGGUGAUCGGCCACAAGGGGACUGAGACACGGCCCUUACUCCUACGGGAGGCAGCAGUGGGGAAUAUUGGACAAUGGACCGAGAGUCUGAUCCAGCAAUUCUGUGUGCACGACGAAGUUUUUCGGAAUGUAAAGUGCUUUCAGUUGGGAAGAAACAAAUGACGGUACCAACAGAAGAAGUGACGGCUAAAAUACGUG
rnacentral:rRNA from 1 species